rnacentral:rRNA from 1 species
UGGGGAAUUUUGGACAAUGGGCGAAAGCCUGAUCCAGCAAUGCCGCGUGUGUGAAGAAGGCCUUCGGGUUGUAAAGCACUUUUGUCCGGAAAGAAAUCCUUGGCUCUAAUACAGUCGGGGGAUGACGGUACCGGAAGAAUAAGCACCGGCUAACUACGUGCCAGCAGCCGCGGUAAUACGUAGGGUGCAAGCGUUAAUCGGAAUUACUGGGCGUAAAGCGUGCGCAGGCGGUUUGCUAAGACCGAUGUGAAAUCCCCGGGCUCAACCUGGGAACUGCAUUGGUGACUGGGCAGGCUAGAGUAUGGCAGAGGGGGGUUAGAAUUCCACGUGUAGCAGUGAAAUGCGUAGAGAUGUGGAGGAAUACCGAUGGCGAAGGCAGCCCCCUGGGCCAAUACUGACGCUCAUGCACGAAAGCGUGGGGAGCAAACAGGAUUCAGAUACCCUGGUAGUCCACGCCCUAAACGAUGUCAACUAGUUGUUGGGGAUUCAUUUCCUUAGUAACGUAGCUAACGCGUGAAGUUGACCGCCUGGGGAGUACGGUCGCAA